rnacentral:rRNA from 1 species
AGUGAACGCUGGCGGUAGGCCUAACACAUGCAAGUCGAACGGCAGCACAGUAAGAGCUUGCUCUUACGGGUGGCGAGUGGCGGACGGGUGAGGAAUACAUCGGAAUCUACUUUUUCGUGGGGGAUAACGUAGGGAAACUUACGCUAAUACCGCAUACGACCUACGGGUGAAAGCAGGGGAUCUUCGGACCUUGCGCGAUUGAAUGAGACGAGGUCGGAUUAGCUAGUUGGCAGGGUAAAGGCACACCAAGGCGACGAUCCGUAGCUGGUCUGAGAGGAUGAUCAGCCACACUGGAACUGAGACACGGUCCAGACUCCUACGGGAGGCAGCAGUGGGGAAUAUUGGACAAUGGGCGCAAGCCUGAUCCAGCCAUACCGCGUGGGUGAAGAAGGCCUUCGGGUUGUAAAGCCCUGUUGUUGGGAAAGAAAAGCAGCAGGUUAAUACCCCGCUGUUCUGACGGUACCCAAAGAAUAAGCACCGGCUAACUUCGUG